GAUGAAGAACGCAGCGAAAUGCGAUAAGUAAUGUGAAUUGCAGAAUUCAGUGAAUCAUCGAGUCUUUGAACGCACAUUGCGCCCCCUGGUAUUCCGGGGGGCAUGCCUGUCCGAGCGUCAUUGCUGCCCUCAAGCACGGCUUGUGUGUUGGGCCCCCGCCCCCCGGCUUCGGGGGGCGGGCCCGAAAGGCAGCGGCGGCACCGCGUCCGGUCCUCGAGCGUAUGGGGCUUCGUCACCCGCUCUGUAGGCCCGGCCGGCGCCCGCCGGCGACCCCAAUCAAUCUUUCCAGGUUGACCUCGGAUCAGGUAGGGAUACCCGCUGAACUUAAGCAUAUCAAUAGCGGAGGA
rnacentral:misc_RNA from 1 species